AUUCGGUUCUUUUAAGAUUUUUACUACUUAGCCAGCAGUUAGAAUACUUGGUUAUGGUUCCAGGGAGGUAGUCUGUCUCUGGAUUGCCUUGAUAGAUUAGAUUCUUUAUAGGCCACCACCAUCCACAACCACAACGCAUGAAAGCGACCCUCCCUUACAGCUCUCUGCCUCUCUCUCGCUUCACUUAAAAGAAACAAUACCAACUUCCUUCCCUUCCCUCAAUUUCUUUCUCCCAAUCCAUCGUUUUUCUGGUUUCUUGGAUUUUUG
rnacentral:misc_RNA from 1 species